GAAGUCGUAACAAGGUUUCCGUAGGUGAACCUGCGGAGGGAUCAUUG
rnacentral:rRNA from 2 species